rnacentral:rRNA from 1 species
UACGUAGGGUGCGAGCGUUGUCCGGAAUUAUUGGGCGUAAAGAGCUUGUAGGCGGUCUGUCGCGUCUGCUGUGAAAACCCGCGGCUUAACUGCGGGCUUGCAGUUGAUACGGGCAGGCUAGAGUUCGGUAGGGGAGACUGGAAUUCCUGGUGUAGCGGUGAAAUGCGCAGAUAUCAGGAGGAACACCAAUGGCGAAGGCAGCUCGCUGGGACGGUACUGACGCUGAGGCGCGAAAGCGUGGGGAGCAAACAGG